ACAAGAACAAUUGAAAACAGUCAGUGAUACAAAACUACAAUUUAGUAAUAUCGAAUUAAUCUUUCUUGAGAAUAUCUUGCCAGUCACAUUUUCUCCUUAUAUUUAACUUAUUAUUUAUUUAUUUUACUUUUUUUCUUGUCUUCAGCUCGUACAGAUUGUUCUUCUCUUGACUUCAUAAUGUUGGUUAUGCGUGUGGCUGAACUCCUCCUAAUUACUGUGAUUACUGUUCUUCUCAUUAGAGGUCGAGGGAACCAGAGACCACCUGGCGACAACACUGUGAAUCAUGAUGAAGAUGAUGGUGUGGUGAAAUAUGAAAACUUUGGAGACCCUUCUGCUUCUGUCAGACUCCACUGAUCAACAACUUCCAUAUCAACAUCAGCUCAUCAGAGAAAAGACUCCACUGCAGUUAAAUAACAGCACAUUUACACGAGUAGUUGAAGCCUUUAAAUAACAAAGAUCCCAUGAGAUCAUUUGGGUUUGUUUUUGUUUUUAGUCAUCAAUGUGAGACAUGUUUGUAUGCUUUUAGCUUAGCCAUUUCUACUUCAGUCUGACUUUGAACAACAAUAUUCAAGUCUUGAUUUCAUCCCAUCUCAGGAAGCCCACUGAGUUUUAUAAAAUGUCUUUUCCUGCAGUUGUGAAAAUCUUUAUUUUCUGCAGCCAGUUCAAAACACAGCAGCUGGAUUUCAACUUCAUUUAACAGGAACGAGCAUUUAACUCUUGUUAACUUCCUUAAAUCAUCUUCCAGCUGAAGAAUUCAGACCUGAUUUUAAGGUUAAAUGUUUGUUUUUGAAGCUACAGCCGCUUGAGUUUUCAUUUUCAUUUCAUUUUUCAGUUUCAUGUCUCUGUGUACAGAAGAACUCACUUUCAGUUAGCAUUGUAGCAUUUGUUGGGAAGUGUUUGUGUUUGGCUUGAAUAAGUUUUCAGCCUUAAUGGAGUCUCUUCUUUAUUAUAUCUGAUAUCUGUAUAAUCUGAAAAUUUAUAAAUGUUUACCACUUAA